AGAGUUUGAUCCUGGCUCAGGAUGAACGCUGGCGGCGUGCUUAACACAUGCAAGUCGAACGAAGCACCUUGAUUUGAUUCUUCGGAUGAAGAUCUUGGUGACUGAGUGGCGGACGGGUGAGUAACGCGUGGGUAACCUGCCUCAUACAGGGGGAUAACAGUUAGAAAUGACUGCUAAUACCGCAUAAGACCACAGCACCGCAUGGUGCAGGGGUAAAAACUCCGGUGGUAUGAGAUGGACCCGCGUCUGAUUAGGUAGUUGGUGGGGUAACGGCCUACCAAGCCGACGAUCAGUAGCCGACCUGAGAGGGUGACCGGCCACAUUGGGACUGAGACACGGCCCAGACUCCUACGGGAGGCAGCAGUAGGGAAUUUUCGGCAAUGGGGGAAACCCUGACCGAGCAACGCCGCGUGAAGGAAGAAGUAAUUCGUUAUGUAAACUUCUGUCAUAGGGGAAGAACGGUGCGUGUAGGGAAUGACAUGCAAGUGACGGUACUCUAUAAGAAAGCCACGGCUAACUACGUGCCAGCAGCCGCGGUAAUACGUAGGUGGCGAGCGUUAUCCGGAAUUAUUGGGCGUAAAGAGGGAGCAGGCGGCACUAAGGGUCUGUGGUGAAAGAUCGAAGCUUAACUUCGGUAAGCCAUGGAAACCGUAGAGCUAGAGUGUGUGAGAGGAUCGUGGAAUUCCAUGUGUAGCGGUGAAAUGCGUAGAUAUAUGGAGGAACACCAGUGGCGAAGGCGACGAUCUGGCGCAUAACUGACGCUCAGUCCCGAAAGCGUGGGGAGCAAAUAGGAUUAGAUACCCUAGUAGUCCACGCCGUAAACGAUGAGUACUAAGUGUUGGGAGUCAAAUCUCAGUGCUGCAGUUAACGCAAUAAGUACUCCGCCUGAGUAGUACGUUCGCAAGAAUGAAACUCAAAGGAAUUGACGGGGGCCCGCACAAGCGGU
rnacentral:rRNA from 1 species